UUGGAGGGCAAGUCUGGUGCCAGCAGCCGCGGUAAUUCCAGCUCCAAUAGCGUAUAUUAAAGUUGUUGCAGUUAAAAAGCUCGUAGUUGAAUUUCGGGAUUGACGUGAUGGUCAUGCCUUAAGGGGUAUGAACUGUUACAGUUGAUUUCUCACCUUCUGGAGAAACUUGAUGUCCUUUAUUGGGUGUCUUGCGGAUCCAGGACCUUUACCUUGAAAAAAUUAGAGUGUUUGAAGCAGGCAUUUUUGCUCGAAUACAUUAGCAUGGAAUAAUAGAAUAGGACGGCAUAGUUCUAUUUUGUUGGUUUCUAGGAUCACCGUAAUGAUUAAUAGGGAUAGUUGGGGGCAUUAGUAUUCAAUUGUCAGAGGUGAAAUUCUUGGAUUUAUUGAAGACUAACUACUGCGAAAGCAUUUGCCAAGGAUGCUUUCAUUGAUCAAGAACGAAAGUUAGGGGAUCGAAGACGAUCAGAUACCGUCGUAGUCUUAACCAUAAACUAUGCCGACUAGGGAUCAGACAAGGAUAUUUUGACUUGUUCGGCGCCUUACGGGAAAC
rnacentral:rRNA from 1 species